CUUAGUUACAAUGCAUGUACUUUAACGCCUUCACGUCUCAAAUCAUGUAUACACGAUUGUCAGCGUAUGCAUCCAAACCCCACAAUCGUUUAUACAAUAUAUUAACCAUUGCAAAUGAAAUUUGUUUAUUGCAAAUGACAGUAACCCUCACACUCACUCAGUCACCCCUCAUGCGCACAACACAGACUGGCCACAAGCAACACGACCACAACCAGCCCGGCCAUACGCACAACACCCUGCAAGCAGCUCUCCCACACAUAUACGCUCCUAGACACAGAGCUACACAAGCUCACAGUUACAGAUACAAUAAUGCAUUCUGGGAACAAUCACAGAUACACAUACACACAAAUAUACAGGAUACUCACUGCCAGACACGCAGUCUCAGGCGCAUAUACUCUACACAAUGGCACAAAUGGACACAUGUAACAAAACAAAC